rnacentral:tRNA from 1 species
GCUCAGUUGGUAGAGCAUGGAGCUUGCAACGCCAGGGUUGUGGGUUCAAUUCCCAC